rnacentral:rRNA from 1 species
UACGAAGGGUGCAAGCGUUACUCGGAAUUACUGGGCGUAAAGCGUGCGUAGGUGGUGAGUUAAGUCUGUCGUGAAAGCCCCGGGCUCAACCUGGGAAUGGCGAUGGAUACUGGCUCGCUAGAGUGCGGUAGAGGGUGGUGGAAUUCCCGGUGUAGCAGUGAAAUGCGUAGAGAUCGGGAGGAACAUCAGUUGCGAAGGCGGCCACCUGGACCAGCACUGACACUGAGGGCACAA